CCUACGGGAGGCUGCAGUGGGGAAUAGUGGACAAUGGGGGAAACCCUGAUCCAGCGACGCCGCGUGAGUGAAGAAGUAUUUCGGUACGUAAAGCUCUAUCAGCAGGAAAGAAAAUGACGGUACCUGACGAAGAAGCACCGGCGAACUACGUGCCAGCAGCCGAGGGAAUACGUAGGGGGCAAGCGUAAUCCGGAGUUAUUGGGUUAAAAGGGGGCGUCGGCGGCGGCGUAAGUCAGCGGUAAAAUUGCGGGGCGCAACCUCGUCGAGCCGUUGAAACGGGGUGCCUUGAGUGGGCGAGACGUACGCGGAUUGCGUGGUGUCGCGGUUAAAUGCAUAGAUCUCACGCAGAACUCCGAUUGCGAAGGCAGCGUACCGGCGCCCAACUGACGCUGAAGCACGAAGGCGUGGGUAUCGAACAGGAUUAGAUACCCCAGUAGUC
rnacentral:rRNA from 1 species